rnacentral:rRNA from 1 species
GAUGAACGCUGGCGGCGUGCCUAAUACAUGCAAGUCGAGCGAAUGGAUUAAGAGCUUGCUCUUAUGAAGUUAGCGGCGGACGGGUGAGUAACACGUGGGUAACCUGCCCAUAAGACUGGGAUAACUCCGGGAAACCGGGGCUAAUACCGGAUAACAUUUUGAACCGCAUGGUUCGAAAUUGAAAGGCGGCUUCGGCUGUCACUUAUGGAUGGACCCGCGUCGCAUUAGCUAGUUGGUGAGGUAACGGCUCACCAAGGCAACGAUGCGUAGCCGACCUGAGAUGGUGAGCGGCCACACUGGGACUGAGACACUGCCCAGACUCCUACGGGAGGCAGCAGUAGGGAAUCUUCCGCAAUGGACGAAAGUCUGACGGAGCAACGCCGCGUGAGUGAUGAAGGCUUUCGGGUCGUAAAACUCUGUUGUUAGGGAAGAACAAGUGCUAGUUGAAUAAGCUGGCACCUUGACGGUACCUAACCAGAAAGCCACGGCUAACUACGUGCCAGCAGCCGCGGUAA